ensembl:snRNA U6 U6 spliceosomal RNA
GGAUUAGAUUCAGCAGCACAUAUACUAAAAUUGGAGAAAUACAGAGAUUAGCAUGGCCCCUGUGCAGGGGUGACGCGCAAAUUCAUGAAGAGCUCCAUAUUGUU